rnacentral:rRNA from 1 species
GUGGGGAAUAUUGGACAAUGGGCGAAAGCCUGAUCCAGCCAUGCCGCGUGUGUGAAGAAGGUCUUCGGAUUGUAAAGCACUUUAAGUUGGGAGGAAGGGCAGUAAGCGAAUACCUUGCUGUUUUGACGUUACCGACAGAAUAAGCACCGGCUAACUCUGUGCCAGCAGCCGCGGUAAUACAGAGGGUGCAAGCGUUAAUCGGAAUUACUGGGCGUAAAGCGCGCGUAGGUGGUUCGUUAAGUUGAAUGUGAAAGCCCCGGGCUCAACCUGGGAACUGCAUCCAAAACUGGCGAGCUAGAGUAGGGCAGAGGGUGGUGGAAUUUCCUGUGUAGCGGUGAAAUGCGUAGAUAUAGGAAGGAACACCAGUGGCGAAGGCGACCACCUGGGCUCAUACUGACACUGAGGUGCGAAAGCGUGGGGAGCAAACAGGAUUAGAUACCCUAGUAGUCC